GGCUUGUUUUUGGAUUCGCCAGGAUCAGUGAAUAUUUGUAAGCAUGCCAUGGUUACGCAUGUAAAAACGUCGAGGUUUAAAUUAACCGCAAAAACUAAUUUAUUUGCUCGCAGCAAUGCUGCUAUGCAAUUAGCUUGCUAAUUUAAUCAAGCUCGUUUCUUAACUAUUUUCCUAUGGUAGUUAUGUAAACGUUCAUUAAGUAGGAUAUAUUUUAUAGCUGCCAUCUUAAGCUAUAAAAUGAAUUUAAUAAGAUUAGUCUAUAUUAUGUUCGUGUUGUAGCAAGAUAUAGAUGAAGUUAAUUACAAUACUAAGCAUGUAGAAAGCGAAGGCUAAUUGGUUUUGUACCGGGGUUCGAGUCCCCGCAGGUCCACCA
rnacentral:tmRNA from 1 species